ensembl:snoRNA
GCUGCCCCUCGAGGCGCUGCAGGUGUGGCUGCUGUGUCAUAUCUGCGUCACUAGGUAGCAGAGAGAAUCGAGGCUAUGUCUACGCUCAGUGUUCCGACCCGUGAACGAACGCCUGAAUGAUUAGUAGCCUGACACAG